rnacentral:tRNA from 1 species
GAGGGUAUAGCUCAAUUGGUAGAGUGCAUGCUUAGCAUGCACAAGGUCCUGGGAUCAAUUCCCAGUACCUCCA